UCCUGCUGGGCCUUGCCUUUGGCAGCUCUUCCCUGCAGCUUGGUGGAUGAGCUGCUGCUGGGAAAAGCUCCCAGUGCCCAGGAAAGCAUAGCCAUCGCUGAUCCCAGGGUGAGGAUGAGCCUGGAUGAGCUGUGUGGGCAGCCCAGUGCAGGGAGGCACAGCUCCUUCCCUCCCAGCUUGGAGAGCUGCUGGGACAGACUCACCACAUGCCCUGGUGUGGGGUUGGUGUAGCUGCUCACAUGGGCUGGGUCAUGCUGCUCACUGGAUUUAGAGGUGGGAUAUCACUUUUUUCCCACUGGACAGGGAAUAUGGAUGAGCUUUUU
rnacentral:lncRNA from 1 species